GUUUGUUUUAAAACCGCAUCUUUCAACGCACUGCAGGCCCUAGUCUGGAAUUCUGGGACUUGGUGAUGAUUCAUGCUCACCCAACCCACGCACGCAUCAUAAUUUUAAUCCCAUGGACAGAGGAGCCUGGCGGGCUACAUAGCCCAAGGGGUUGCAGAGUCCAACACGACUGAGCGACUGAGUACAUACCGGCACACAUGAAGUAUAUAAUUCACGCUCAGAGCAGGCCUGGGCAGGUGGCUGUCUACCAUCUCCACGCACAAAGAUGUUGGAAGAGACCAGGUGGGACUCCUCCCCUUCGAAGGCAGAUUAACCUUUGGCGCCAUCUAAGGGCCAGGGAGGACGGCAGCAGCGGCGGCUCUGGACCCAGUGAAUACUUUGAGUGUGCUGAGCUAUCAUGUAUAUACACCAGCUGGAGAGUGAUGGGAAGACUCUCAACAAAGAAAUAGAAUCAUGCAGGGCCACCCUGCUGAAGGCUGAGCCACGCCACUUGUGGGAUCUUAGUUCCCUGACCAGGGAUUGAACCUGCGCCCUUGGCUGAGUCCUAACCACUGAACCACCAGGGAAUUCCCCACCAAUCGUGCUGAAGUGUUCUCUUUUACCAUAUAUGUAUGUGUGUCCUUAAAUGAUGGAUGUGUUUGAAUGUAAAUAAAGGGUUAUCAUAUGUA
ensembl:lncRNA